UUUCAGAUAGCUCAGCCAGCAGAGCACGAGACCUUGAAUCUCAGGGCAGUGAGUUCGAGCCCCACAUUGGGCAAAA